rnacentral:rRNA from 1 species
CCUACGUGAGGCAGCAGUGAGGAAUAUUGGUCAAUGGGCGCUAGCCUGAACCAGCCAAGUAGCGUGAAGGAUGACUGCCCUACGGGUUGUAAACUUCUUUUAUAUGGGAAUAACGCGCAUUAUGUAUACUGCUUUGCAUGUACCUUAUGAAUAAGGACCGGCUAACUCCUUGCCAGCAGCCGCGGUAAUACGGAGGAUCCGGGCGUUAUCCGGAUUUAUUGGGUUUAAAGGGAGCGUAGGCGGCUUGUUAAGUCUGCUGUGAAAGUUUCGGGCUCAACCGGAACAUUGCAGUGGGUACUGGCAUCCUUGAGUACAGUGGAGGCAGGCGGAAUUCGUGGUGUAGCGGUGAAAUGCUUAGAUAUGACGAAGAACCCCGAUUGCGAAGGCAGCCUGCUGGAGUGGAACUGACGCUGAUGCUCGAAAGCGUGGGUAUCGAACAGGAUUAGAUACCCCUGUAGUC